CACGAACCCGACGAACGUUAUUCGGAAUUAUUGGGCUUAAAGGGUGCGUAGGCGGUGCGGUAAGUGAGGUGUGAAAGCCCUCGGCUCAACCGAGGUAUUGCGCUUCAUACUGCCGUGCUGGAGGGAGACAGGGGUAAGCGGAACUGAUGGUGGAGCGGUGAAAUGCGUUGAUAUCAUCAGGAACACCGGUGGCGAAAGCGGCUUACUGGGUCUCUUCUGACGCUGAGGCACGAAAGCUAGGGUAGCGAACGGG
rnacentral:rRNA from 1 species